rnacentral:rRNA from 1 species
UGAUUAGCUGGUUGGUGAGGUAACGGCCCACCAAGGCGACGAUCAGUAGCCGGCCUGAGAGGGUGAACGGCCACAUUGGCACUGAGACACGGCCCAAACUCCUACGGGAGGCAGCAGUGGGGAAUAUUGCACAAUGGGGGAAACCCUGAUGCAGCAACGCCGCGUGAGUGAAGAAGUAUUUCGGUAUGUAGGCUCUAUCAGCAGGAAAGAAAAUGACGGUACCUGACUAAGAAGCCCCGGCUAACUACGUGCCAGCAGCCGCGGUAAUACGUAGGGGGCAAGCGUUAUCCGGAUUUACUGGGUGUAAAGGGAGCGUAGACGGUUUUGCAAGUCUGAAGUGAAAGCCCGGGGCUUAACCCCGGGACUGCUUUGGAAACUGUAGGACUAGAGUGCAGGAGAGGUAAGUGGAAUUCCUAGUGUAGCGGUGAAAUGCGUAGAUAUUAGGAGGAACACCAGUGGCGAAGGCGGCUUACUGGACUGUAACUGACGUUGAGGCUCGAAAGCGUGGGGAGCAAACAGGAUUAGAUACCCUGGUAGUCCACGCCGUAAACGAUGAUUACUAGGUGUUGGUGGGUAUGACCCAUCGGUGCCGCAGCAAACGCAAUAAGUAAUCCACCUGGGGAGUA